AUGAUGUUCCAAGUAAAAUAUCAAUAUUAAAAUCACAUAAAACACUAACAUUAACAGAAAUCAUACCUCAGAUUUGUCAAGGUAGCUUUAAUGAUGUUCCAAGUGUCUUUGUGAUAGCACUUACUUGUAAGCAACGUGUAUGUAUGAUGUAUUUGCAUAUGAGUGGACUGUAUAGGGACAGGUGCAAGCAAAAUGUUGCCUCUUUUACAAGACAAACACAUGGAAUGGUGCAGUCAAUUCACCCA
rnacentral:lncRNA from 1 species